CAGCCGCCGCGGUAAUACGAAGGGGGCUAGCGUUGCUCGGAAUGACUGGGCGUAAAGGGCGCGUAGGCGGAUGGCACAGUCAGAUGUGAAAUUCCCGGGCUUAACCUGGGGGCUGCAUUUGAUACGUGUUGUCUAGAGUGAGGAAGAGGGUCGUGGAAUUCCCAGUGUAGAGGUGAAAUUCGUAGAUAUUGGGAAGAACACCGGUGGCGAAGGCGGCGACCUGGUCCUUUACUGACGCUGAGGCGCGAAAGCGUGGGGAGCGGACAGGAUUAGAUACCCCCGUAGUCCCUGUCUCUUAUAC
rnacentral:rRNA from 1 species